ACCUGGGUGGCUCAGUUGGUUGAGCGUCUGACUUCUGCUCAGGCUACGAUCCCGCGGCUUGUGAGUUCGAGUCCCACGUCGGGCU
rnacentral:tRNA from 1 species